UAUCUUUAGAUGUGUUCGUAGCAUGACUGGAAAGAACACAAACACACUGAGAACUGCAGAGCGCACCGUGCGUUACGGGUGGGGAGGGGGAGGGCUCGCGCGAGGGUGUAACUCAUUCCUCUAAGAGUAACCCACGCAAACAAUGAGACCCCAAAUUUUGAGUGAUUCAGGCCGAGGGGUAUGAGGAAGCUUGAGGAAGUAAGGAGAAACGCGCUGCGAUGAGAGUUCGCAUUCUGUUUUACACGCGCGCUUCACUAAAACCAAUACAAAUACCGUGCUUUGACGAGCCGUCCGUGAAUGUGUGUGUCUUCUUUCAGCGAGCUCAACAACUUCGAGCUGCUCGUCACAUCGUGUUGUCUCGCUUACACUACAGCAUCGAACCAUCGCUCCGUAUGUCCCCCCUCCUACGCGUACAAAACCACCAGUAUAGCGCGACGCUUUGUUGGAGAUGGUUGUGCGCGUUUUGUUUUAAGUCCAGCGCGCAGUGUUUGUGCGUUAAUACGUAUUUCGUUCAAAGUCUCGUGGGCUGGUGAUUUUUGGUGAAGUGUGAAGUGAACAAACAAUGUGCACAGACACACAUGCAGUUCGUGCAUCGACAGGUAAGAAUUUGCUGAACAGAGGCAACGCAGAUUGUCGACAAAUUUCCCGCAGCCUGGCUCGACCCGGUACUUUGUAGUAUGACGCCAUUCGUGAGUAUGAUAGAUUCUGAAUGUGUUGUGAAAGUGUACUUUAUGUUUCAAUAAAUUGUUUAAUGAAAUAAAAAAUGACCGUGUUUGUGUUUGUUGUUAGAAGAAGUGCGUAUUUGCGAUCGUGGCAAUUUAUGAAAGAAAGCGCCCAAGUAGCAGAGCCGAAGUUGUUGAGAGGUUUUUCUCUGUGCCAAAGCGAGAGGCUCUGUCUUCUCUCUCUAGAUUUUGGACGGCAAACCGCCGCCCGUGUAGAGGUGUGUGCGUGUGACGAAAAAUUAUCGAUGAAAUACGGGGGAAGCGGGGUUUGAAGUCUUUCGUUCGUCACACACACAUGCAUUUACCAGCGGAUAACACUGGACCGAGUCUACCCAUCUCUCUCGAUCCACCAUGAUUUUUCUGCUAUCGCGCUCAUCCGGGUGUUAGGCAUCCUCAGUCUGUCCAGAACUGUCCCUAUGGAAGAAUGUACUGAAGUAAGGUGUGGUUUCUUGUGCGACGUUCUUUGCUCAUUUUCGUUUUGUGCCGGGUUCCUUCUUCCUCAGUUAUAGAAUGAUUUAUCCUAGCAAAUUGUUGAGGUGUGUGCGCUAUUUAUCAACGACUGCAUGCUGGCCUCGUCAACAAUCUUCGAAGUGAGCAACGGAAAGAAAACGUUUUCCAGUUUUAAAAUAUUAAGCCCCCGGUGAGGACGUCAUUACUUAACAGAAGCCGGUUCAACACGCGCAGCUCCUGUUCAUGACUAAACUGAAGUCAGCUGAACACGCGCAGCACGGAUGGUACCCCGAGCGCGGUAGGAGGAAGGAAGAACGAGAGGAGGAAGAACGGUAAAUUUGGAAGGGGGAAAGCGUUCUGCCGUCUACACAGCGAGAGUAUGCCAAAACACAUGUGGGAAGGGAGAGGAAUAUUAUUCAAUAAACAGCAUGCCCCUACAAGCAAAGAGCGGGUAAUUUUUAUCAUGGUGUGCGUAAAAACUUAGAAUCAAGCCGAUGGAAGACCCUACAAGCAAAGAGCAGGUAAUUUUUAUCAUGGUGUGCGUAAAAACCUAGAAUCAAGCCGAUGGAAGAUUUCCUAGGCUUAAAAAAGGGGAGAGAAUCGGUACCACGGUUCUCUCCCGCUCCCAUAUAAAAUACACGGUGCGCUCUCUCGGUUUCCGAGGUUCUUUUAAAAGUAUUAUCGGAAACCGAGAAAGAACCUCGGAAACCGAGAGAGCGCACCGUGUAUUUUAUAUGGGAACGGGAGAGAACCGUGGUACCGAUUCUCUCCCCUUUUUUUAAGCCUACGAAAACUUCCAUCGGCUUGAUUCUAGGUUUUUACGCACACCAUGAUAAAAAUUACCCGCUCUUUGUCCGUAGGGAAAUCUUCCAUCGGCUUGACACUAGGUUUUUACGCACACCAUGAUAAAAAUUACCCGCUCUUUGUCCGUAGGGGCGCUUAGCAAAGUCGUGCGUCCGAGCGCGAAAAAUUAUUCCUCUGUCUGGCGCGUCCACGCAAACAAUGAGACCCCAAAUUUUGAGUGAUUCAGGCCGACGGGUUUGAGGAAGCUUGAGGAGGCAAGGAGAAACGCGCGGCGAUGAGAGUUCGCAUUCUGUUUUACACGCGCGCUUCACUAACACCAAUACAAAUACCGUGCUUUGACGAGCCGUCUGUGCAUGUGUGUGUCUUCUUUCCGCGAGCUCAACAACUUCGAGCUGCUCGUCACAUCGUGUUGUCUCGCUUACACUACAGCAUCGAACCAUCGCUCCGUAUGUCCCCCCUCCUACGCGUACAAAACCACCAGUACAGCGCGACGCUUUGCCGGAGAUGGUUGUGCGCGAUUUGUUCUAAGUCCCGCGCGUAGUGUUUGUGCGUUGAUGCGCAUUUCGUUAUAAGUCUCGUGCGCCGGUGUGUUUUGGUGAAGUGUGAAGUGAAUAAACAGUGUGCACAGACGCACAUGCAGUGCGUGCAUCGACAGGUAAGAAUUUGCUGAACAGAGGCAACACAGAUUGUCGACAAGUUUCCCGCAGCCUGGCUUGACCCGGUACUUUGUAGUAUGACGCCAUUCGUGAGUAUGAAGGAUUCUAAAUGUGUUGUGAAAGUGUAAUUUAUGUUUCAAUAAAGUGUAUAAUGUAACCAAAAAUGACCGUGUUUGUGUUUGUUGUUAGAAUAAGUGCGUAUUUGCGAUCGUGGCAAUGCAUGAAAGAAAACGAGAAACGAAAGAAACAAAUAUCUUUGGAUGUGUUGGUAGCAUGAUUGGAAAGAACACAACACAUUGAGAACUACAGAGCCCACCGUGCGUUCCGGGUGGGAAGGGAGAGGGCUCGCGCGAGGGUGUAACUCAUUCCUCCAAGAGUAACUGCUAAGGGAGGGCGGUACUCAAAUCACUCAAAAAAUACACUCAUUUUGCCGGACGGGUCGCGCGAGGGUGUAACUCAUUCCUCCAAGAGUAACUGCUAACGGGGGACGGUACUCAAAUCACUCAAAAAAUACACUCAUUUUGCCGGACGGGGUGGCUUUUGUUUCGUGUGCGUUUAUGUGUGUGCCUGAGAAGAAGCGCGCAUAGCGAAGUCGUACGUCCGAGCGCGAUAACAAUUCCUCUGUCUGGCGCGUUGCCUUUGUCUCGUGUAUGUGUGUGCAGACUCGCGCGCGAGAAGUGCGCGCAGUAGUGUUUCGUUCAUGUAUGUUCGAGACAUUUCCACAAAGGUGCGCGUUCCUUGUAUUUUGCGUAUGAUCCCAGACUCGUGCGCAUGCUGUUGUUUCAUGCAUGGUGAGUGCGUAAGCGUUAGCGUGGCUUAAACAACGCUAAAAACUCAAGUAAUUCCUUGAACAAUUCCGUGAAUUUGAAUACCGUGUUCGGUGCAAGUGUGAACAAGCGUGAGCGUGGCUUUGACAACGCUUUCUGGGUAAAAGUGUAAAUAGCUUCAUCGACAGGCAUACGUACCAGGAUGGGUGGCCAGGAUCACACUCCGAAGAGAUCCCAGGAUGAAGCUAUCGACGCUAAGGUGCUGAUUCACCAGCGUGGCCAAAUCAAGCGCAGAGUUACUCUCAUCAACAACAUGCUAGAGAAAGCCAAAGAAGACCCGACGAAGGUAACUCAAACGCAGCUAAAGGGAAACUUCAAGGGAAACAUCGGCGUAAUGAACUUCAAGGGAAACAUCAUUUCGGGUGAAGAUGAC